rnacentral:rRNA from 1 species
CAAUAGCGUAUAUUAAAGUUGUUGCAGUUAAAAAGCUCGUAGUUGGAUUUCUGGAUCGAACGCUUCGUCCGCCGCUGUGCGGUGUGUACUGAGGUUUUGUUUCGAUUCAUCCUUGCAGGGAAGCGAGUUCGAGAUUAAUUUGUCGGCUUGGGGAACUGCAUCUUUUACUGUGAAAAAAUUAGAGUGUUUAAAGCAGGCAUCUUGCUGUGAAUACAUUAGCAUGGAAUAAUAACAUAGGACUUUGGUUCUAUUUUGUUGGUUGGAGGCCAAGGUAAUGAUUAAUAGGGACAGUUGGGGGUAUUCAUAUUUAAUUGUCAGAGGUGAAAUUCUUGGAUUUAUGAAAGAUGAACUCAUGCGAAAGCAUUUACCAAGGAUGUUUUCAUUAA